AUUGAACGCUGGCGGAAUGCUUUACACAUGCAAGUCGAACGGUAGAGGGGGGCAACCCCUUGAGAGUGGCGAACGGGUGAGUAAUAUAUCGGAACGUACCUUAUUGUGGGGGAUAACGCAGCGAAAGCUGUGCUAAUACCGCAUAAUCCCUUAGGGGGAAAGCGGGGGACCGUAAGGCCUCGCGCAAUUAGAGCGGCCGAUACCUGAUUAGCUAGUUGGUGAGGUAAAGGCUCACCAAGGCAACGAUCAGUAGCUGGUCUGAGAGGACGAUCAGCCACACUGGGACUGAGACACGGCCCAGACUCCUACGGGAGGCAGCAGUGGGGAAUUUUGGACAAUGGGGGCAACCCUGAUCCAGCAAUGCCGCGUGAGUGAAGAAGGCCUUCGGGUUGUAAAGCUCUUUUGUCAGGGAAGAAACAGCAGCUCUAACACAGUCUGCGAAUGACGGUACCUGAAGAAUAAGCACCGGCUAACUACGUG
rnacentral:rRNA from 1 species